GUCCAGUGAUGAAACCAAGGCGAAUGCGAGCUAAUUGGUAGGGUAUGGGUGCAUCAGUCUCCUGAUUUGAUGGGUAAUCUUGGCAGGGUAGUAGAGCUUGGCUUCUCUGCUGUAAGGGCCCACCCAUAAUAAAUGGCUCCUCUCCUCAUUUCCCUUAUUGGAAAUUAAGGAUGGGGAGGAGGAGGAGGGAGCCAACAGUGUGUGUGUGUGUGUGUGUGUGUGUGUGUGUGUGUCAGGAGGCAGAGGACACCCUGCCCUCUAUAUGCCCAUUGGCUAUGAGCGACAUCUUUGGUAAUCUGAGGACA
ensembl:snoRNA small nucleolar RNA U85